GCAGUGGUGGUUCAGGGGUAGAAUCCUCACCUUCCAUGUGGGAGACCUGGGCUUGAUUCCCACCCAAUACA
rnacentral:tRNA from 1 species